ensembl:lncRNA
UAAAAACUGCACUGUUGGUUAAGGGCUUGUAAGUAAGCAUUUCACUGUAUGGUCUGUAUUCGGCGCACGUGACAAAUACAUUUUGAUUUGAACCUGAUUUCAACAUCUGGAAAAUACGUAUUUUCACCUUUCAUUCAGAACCUACAAUGAACCUAACUUCGACAUCUUGAAAAUACGUAUUGUAGACGUCAUUUUAACGUAAUUUUGCUUACUGGGACUAUUCUGAUAAGGGGCGGCAAUUUUGUGGUCUCGCCUAUGGCGGCCGGGAUCGGCCGGUCACAUGAGCAUUUUCACUUUCCAAACGCCAUUUGAAGUGGGUUUCAGUGCAGGCGGGAGAUCUAUUUUAUCUUCGAAAAGAACAAUAGCAACAUGCUGUAGGCCUACAACUGAAAACGUUUUUGAUUACGUCCAUCGUCCAAACUGGAAUGUAGCCUAUUUUCGUCUCGAUUGCUUUUGCGCGUCUAUCGUCUGAAUGAAUCAUUCCACCCUGGGCCUGAAAUUGAAAUGUAAAUAGCCUACAAUCAUACUUUCAUUUAUGAAUCUAUACGUGCAACCCAAUUUUAACCUGUUCAUUAAUUAUUAAACUGUUAAUAUAUUCAGUGACCUGGUAAAUAUUGGAUUUUUUUCAACAAAGAAAACUGAGUUGAAGAGGUGAAGUACAGUUACGAUCGGCGCCAAUGGACACGUUGGCUUUUCUGACAGAUAAGCAGUUACUGCAGUUUUUACGCUGUAGUAGGACAGAGAUGUCGUGCAUGGUGCAACCACACACCUUUCUUAACCAGCUCCGUGACCACCACCUCAUUCCGGAGAACAUGUACAAGAAGCUGAUUUUGAUUAGGAGUAAGGAGCUGAGGGAGAAGGGUGUGUACCGGGUGUUGGACUGGGUGGAGGCAGAGAGGCCCGACAGCAUCAAGGUGUUCUGGAACUGUGUGUUCAGGGAUCACCUCCUGCAGCAGUACCCCACGUUACGCCUGCUACGAAACCGCCUGCUGGACGGGUCGUUCACAUUCUAUGAGAAACUGCCAGAGAAGGUGGAGAAGGAAGAGGAGGAGGAUAAGAAGAAGAAGGCUUCAGCGGAAGGAGGAGAGGAGGAGGAGGAGAAGACAGGAAGGAAAAAGAGGAAACAGAAAAAGAGAAGUGCGAGUGCGGAGGAGGAGCAGCCCAGCACAUCCACCCAGUCCACCCCCAGUCAGAAGAGGAAAGUCCAGAGGCUCAAAUACUGCUCACCUUUCAGGAAGGGGGAGAAAGCUGACAUCUGGACCUGGCCAAUCUACAAGAGCCAGCUCCCAGUCACCUGUGGGGACAAAGAAGGCAUGCUCAACAGGGACAAGCUGGCCAAAGGGGAGAAGUGCAUUGUAGCCCAGGGUCGCUGGUUCACCCCAAGUGGCUUUGAGGAGUUUGGGGGGAAGAAGAGCCGUAAGAACUGGAAGUGCAGUAUCCGCUGUAGAGACACCACUCUGGAAAAACUGAUCCAGGAAGGCCAUUUAACUUCACCAGACUUUAAAAGAAGAAAGAGUGCACAGACCAAGAGAGCACUGUUUCCCUCCAACCAAUCAGCGGGCUCAAUCACAGGUAUGUACACCAAUUACAACUCAAUGGAAUCUUUCUGAAUCCUUUAAACAUGACUUUCUGGUAAAGGGGAU